UACAGAGGGGGCAAGCGUUGUUCGGAAUUACUGGGCGUAAAGCGUGCGCAGGCGGUUUGUAAGCCAGAUGUGAAAGCCCCGGGCUCAACCUGGGAAACUGGGCGAUGGAUACGUGGCGAGCUAGAGUACGGUAGAGGAGAGUGGAAUUCCCGGUGUAGCAGUGAAAUGCGUAGAGAUCGGAGGAACAUCAGUUGCGGAAGGCGGCUCUCUGGACCAGUACUGACGCUGAGGCACGAAAGCGUGGGAGCA
rnacentral:rRNA from 1 species